UAUGUUGCGUUAAACGUUUCGGGUUUAAAAGCGUCCAGCUCGGAAAAUAUAACUGAAAGGCACCUCAGUAUUUUACCCUUGCGCUAAAUAAAAUGUUCGGGGAGAACGCUGGUGUGAGGAUCCUGUGGGUAUGGGCAGUUGGAACUUUGGGAGUUCUCUGCACAGUAGUAGUAAAAAGGAGAAUGGAGGAUCUAGAGGCCAUAAUGAAUGAUAAUCGAAGGCAGACUGAAAUGAAAUCGGAGAAUAAUGUGAAACAAGUUGACAGAGAAUUUGAAAUAACAGAAAAUGUUCAGAAUAAUACGGAGACAUGAGGCCAAUAUGAAUUUGGAGAAACUUGCUUUGAAGUACUUAUCAUUUAUCGUUUUAUGGAUGUUGCUAAUUAGCCAAUUCUGCAGAUGAGGUUAUAUUUGAUAAAAAUGCAUUCUCUAUGAUUUUUCCUUUUUCUUCACAGUUGUAAAAACAUUUGCAGUUGGAAACUGAAGUCAUGUGAAUCUGAUGAAUGUUGAUCUUGCAAUUGAAGAUUC